rnacentral:lncRNA from 1 species
GCCACGAGUUGCCAAGGCGUAAUCCACCAAGGGUGUGCUAUAGAUUUGAUUCGAAUCUGGGAUUGUUAGUUAUGUCUCGACCGCUAUGUGAUGAGUUUCUUUUAUAGGUUUCCUAAGGUUUCCAAAUUAUUGGAUGCAUUAAAGUUUAGUUGAUGUUUCACAUCUCCUAGUGAAUUUAACCGGAAAAUAAAGUGUACUCUUGCAGAUUUGUUUUACUCGUUAAUGAACUUCUUGUGUCAAAGUGAAAAUAAAUUUAUUGCUUUUAUGGCGUCUGUCUUUUCCAUGCAUCCAUCAGUAAAACACCCCAAUCACUUCCUUUUCCUUACUUGAAUUUCCUGAAC